rnacentral:rRNA from 1 species
GAUGAACGCUGGCGGCGUGCCUAAUACAUGCAAGUCGAGCGAACAGACGAGGAGCUUGCUCCUCUGACGUUAGCGGCGGACGGGUGAGUAACACGUGGAUAACCUACCUAUAAGACUGGGAUAACUUCGGGAAACCGGAGCUAAUACCGGAUAAUAUAUUGAACCGCAUGGUUCAAUAGUGAAAGACGGUUUUGCUGUCACUUAUAGAUGGAUCCGCGCCGCAUUAGCUAGUUGGUAAGGUAACGGCUUACCAAGGCAACGAUGCGUAGCCGACCUGAGAGGGUGAUCGGCCACACGGGAACUGAGACACGGUCCAGACUCCUACGGGAGGCAGCAUUAGGGAAUCUGCCGCAAUGGGCGAAAGCCUGACGGAGCAACGCCGCGUGAGUGAUGAAGGUCUUCGGAUCGUAAAACUCUGUUAUUAGGGAAGAACAAAUGUGUAAGUAACUAUGCACGUCUUGACGGUACCUAAUCAGAAAGCCACGGCUAACUACGU